GAUCCCUACGGGGCGCAGCAGUGAGGAAUAUUGGUCAAUGGACGGAAGUCUGAACCAGCCAUGCCGCGUGCAGGAAGACGGCUCUAUGAGUUGUAAACUGCUUUUGUACAAGGGUAAACCUGAAUACGUGUAUUCAGCUGAAAGUACUGUACGAAUAAGGAUCGGCUAACUCCGUGCCAGCAGCCGCGGUAAUACGGAGGAUCCAAGCGUUAUCCGGAUUUAUUGGGUUUAAAGGGUGCGUAGGCGGCUUGAUAAGUUAGAGGUGAAAUGUCGGAGCUCACAUCGGGAAAUGCCUCUAAUACUGU
rnacentral:rRNA from 1 species